rnacentral:rRNA from 1 species
GACGAACGCUGGCGGCGUGCUUAACACAUGCAAGUCGAACGGUAAGGCCCUGCUUUUGUGGGGUGCUCGAGUGGCGAACGGGUGAGUAACACGUGAGUAACCUGCCCUUGACUUUGGGAUAACUUCAGGAAACUGGGGCUAAUACCGGAUAGGAGCUCCUGCUGCAUGGUGGGGGUUGGAAAGUUUCGGUGGUUGGGGAUGGACUCGCGGCUUAUCAGCUUGUUGGUGGGGUAGUGGCUUACCAAGGCUUUGACGGGUAGCCGGCCUGAGAGGGUGACCGGCCACAUUGGGACUGAGAUACGGCCCAGACUCCUACGGGAGGCAGCAGUGGGGAAUAUUGCACAAUGGGCGGAAGCCUGAUGCAGCAACGCCGCGUGCGGGAUGACGGCCUUCGGGUUGUAAACCGCUUUCGCCUGUGACGAAGCGUGAGUGACGGUAAUGGGUAAAGAAGCACCGGCUAACUACGUG